rnacentral:rRNA from 1 species
UACGAAGGGGGCUAGCGUUGUUCGGAAUCACUGGGCGUAAAGCGCACGUAGGCGGAUCUUUAAGUCAGGGGUGAAAUCCCGAGGCUCAACCUCGGAACCGCCUUUGAUACUGGGGAUCUCGAGUCCGGGAGAGGUGAGUGGAACUGCGAGUGUAGAGGUGAAAUUCGUAGAUAUUCGCAAGAACACCAGUGGCGAAGGCGGCUCACUGGCCCGGAACUGACGCUGAGGUGCGAAAGCGUGGGGAGCAAACGGG